CCUACGGGGUGCUGCAGUGGGGAAUAUUGCACAAUGGGGGGAACCCUGAUGCAGCAACGCCGCGUGGGUGAAGAAGUACUUCGGUAUGUAAAGCCCUGUCAGCAGGGAAGAAAAUGACGGUACCUGACCAAGAAGCCCCGGCUAACUACGUGCCAGCAGCCGCGGUAAUACGUAGGGGGCAAGCGUUAUCCGGAUUUACUGGGUGUAAAGGGGGCGCAGACGGCAGCGCAAGCCAGGAGUGAAAGCCCGGGGCCCAACCCAGGGACUGCUCUUGGAACUGCGCGGCUGGAGUGCAGGAGGGGCAGGCGGAAUUCCUGGUGUAGCGGUGAAAUGCGUAGAUAUUAGGAGGAACACCAGAGGCGAAGGCGGCUCACUGGACUGUAACUGACGUUGAGGCUCGAAAGCGUGGGGAGCAAACAGGAUUAGAUACCCCGGUAGUC
rnacentral:rRNA from 1 species